UUAAAUACAAACUUUCUAUAAUCUACUAUAAUCAUUUAGAUCAUUUAGAUGGGCCUAUAAACCUAACCAAAUUGUAUGUAGCAGAACAUGGAGCCCUUUCUCAUGAUCCCGUGAGCAAGCUUGAGGGCAGGUGGAGGGGAAGGCUACAAGCAGCUUACCUACCCCGCAGGUGAUCAAGAAGACUUGCUGGGUACAUGGAUCGGGUGCCCAGAUCCUGCUUCCUAGGUGGGUUUGCUGCUGAGGCGCAACUGGGAGCCCUGCAGCAGCCAGUAGUUCUCACGGGCAGCCAAGCCCAGUAGACCUUUAUUCCUUUUUUCACAAUACAUAACUGGCUCAAACUGGAUCCACCUUUGGUUAUGUAAGUCAAGACUCAUUAAGGAGGAGGAACUGGAGGGAAAGCCUUAAAUCCAGAUGGACCAGAGACAAUUGUUACAUCAGGAAUACUCUGGCUCUUUUCAUUGGAUCCAAGAGCUGUCUAUCCUUGGAAGAGUGGGGAAGCCUUUCUCCUCUUUGGGGAAAUAAAUAUUGGGACCCAAAGCCUAGCAAUUUUCCAUCUGCUACUGGUAUCCAUAAAGGGAGACUCUGCCACUCUUGCAGCCAGGGACCCACCUAAUUGCUGAACUAAGGUUAAAACUUCAGUGUUAAUGUUUUUAAUAUUUUCUUUCUUAAUUCCUGUGUAUGUUCCAUUUUCCUUUAUUUUCCUCCAUUUCCUUAUUGUGUGCAACUCUUAUUUUUCUCAAUACAUUUUCAUAUAUUUAGAAGUGGCUUCAGUCCGGUUUCAAAAGGUUCUGAAGGGUUACUUGCAAAGCUCUUUGCCAUGUGUCUUGUAACUACUGAAUGCUUUGGUUUUUAGAAUAAUCUCUUGUUUUUAUCUAAAGCUAGGUUCUGUGGACUCUAGGUUCUAGUCCGUGUUGAGCUGUGUUUGAGUCAGUCACUCUAGAUCAGCUUUCAGCUGGCGGUAGCCUACCUCGAAGGAGCAGCAUGCACCUCAAGUGGCAUUAGAGCAAUCUCUCUACUGAGGAUAGAGGAUAGCUCCCAGGAGAAUGUUGUACUCAAGCAUCACAGUUUGUCACUGCUUGUUGUUCCAUACUUGGCAUGUUCCUUCUUUUUUGCCCUGUUAAGUCACUUCAUUAGUUUAAUUACUUCACAAUGGUACCCUGCUAUCUAUGUGAAGUGGUGACUUCUUUUCUUUUCCCUUACAAACAUAUACCUAAACUUUGCAGUCCAAUAUCUUCACAACAAUGUCUUUGAAAGUAAUGAACAAAUGGAAAGAGAAAUUAGAUCCAGGUGUUGCUUGCUUGCUUGCUUGCUUCAUGCAUCAUAACAGCUUUUAUAAGGAAUUGAUGUGUACCCAAUUUUGAGCCUAGAUGCAAAAGAAAAUGUACAGGUUAAUUGAUAUUUUAAAUAAUGGGGAAACCCUGCUUACAGCUCAACUGAAAGAGAAGAUAUCCCCAUACACUGUGCAACGUGCAGAAUAAUGAGUCAUGACUACGUACCAUUAAGAGCCACCUAAUGGUGCAGCGGGGAAGUAACUUGUCUAGGGAGCAAGAGGUCUGCUGGUAUGUUUCCCAGACUAUGGGAAACACCUAUAUUGUGCAGUAGCAAUACAGGAAGAUGCUGAAAGGCGUCAUCUCAGACUGCAUGGGAGAUGGCAAUGGUAAACCCCUCCUGUAUUCUACCAAAGAAAACCACAGGGCUCUGUGGUCGCCAGGAGUCGACACCGACUCGACCUCACAACUUUACUUUACUUACAUACCAUUAAAAUGAAUGAGACAAGUUAGUCAUGACUUAUUUAAAUCCCAUUAAUUUCAAUGGGAAUUAAUCUGGAUUCUGCUCACAGGUUCACAUUUGCAAAUAUGGAUUCUUUUAAGUCAGAAGGGCCUUAAAGAUGUGGAAGUAACCAUCAACUUGCUGAAUCAGGGACUCUAACUUAGCCCAUCAAAAUGUGCAUUGGAAUGUAGAUUUGGUCUGUCUGCUCAUUGCCUUCGAGGAAUGUACAGCUGAAUGUGAAUCUAAACACACAUCCUUCUGUGAAUGGAGAUGUAUAUUUGGACAUUUCUCCUCAUAUUUUGGACAUCUGACAUAUAUGGACAUUUUAAAUGAUCCUGUAGGAGGCAGGAACUGGAGUCAGAGAGUGAGCAUGAGGAAGCAUUAUCUCCAACAUCAGUUCUUCCUCCCACUGCAGUUCAUUAAACUGCAAGGAGGUGUUCCCCUUCACAGUUUAUUAUAUCCUUUGGUGAUUGAGAAACUAAGCUCAGAUCCCCCUCUAAGGCCAAUCCUUCUUUUGAUAUGAUGGGGCAAUUUCUCUCGCAGGUGAAAUUGUUGUUUGAGAGAAACAAUGGGCUUGGAGAAUGUGCAUCUAUCUAAGGGCUUGGAUUAUCUGUGCACAAUUCUCCCCCACUCCAGACUCCACAUUGAAAUUAUGUCCUUUCAGCUUCAUUCCAAGCUCCAACAGGUGGAGGAUCAUAAGCCACUCCCUGUUGUCAGUGUUACCAGUGCAUAAGAGCACUGUGCAUAUUUAUUUAUUUUAUUUAUUUAUUUGAUUUCUAUACCGCCUUUCCAAAAAUGGCUCAGGGCAGUUUACACAGAGAAAUAAUAAAUAAAUAAGAUGGAUCCCUGUCCCCAAAGGGCUCACAAUCUAAAAAGAAACAUAAGACAGACACCAGCAACAGUCACUGGAGGUAUUGUGCUGGGGGUGGAUAGGGCCAAUUACUCUCCCCCUGCUAAAUAAAGAGAAUCACCAUGUUAAAAAGUGCCUCUUUGCCAAGUUAGCAGGGGUUAAAAUGUCCAUAUACAGUCCUUGGUCUGCAAAACUGGUCACCACCAGUUUGAGGGAACUGGGGCAGGAGUUUUAUCCUUGGGGGUUCCUCCUGUCUGCAGAGAUUUUCUCCAACCCUCUCCCCAUAUUGUUGCCCAAAAAGUCUUCACAAGAGAACCUGCUUGAUGAUGAUGCACCAAAUGGCCCCUCCAAUCUCAUGAGGGCAAAAUGAGGGACCAUUUCUUCAACUGCUGUGGGUAGUAGCAAAAUUGGGGAUGAAACUUACUGCUGGUGGUGGUGGUCUUUCCAAUAGUCACCCGCUGGCAGCAACCUUUUUUCUUCACAGAAGCCCCCAUAACUAUGCUAUAUCAUACAUAGCAUCAUUCUCCAGAGCUUCUGAGGGGAAACUGCAGCCACCAAUUGGCCCCUCCAAUCUCAUGAGGGCAAAAUGAGGGACCAUUUCUUCAACUGCUGUGGGUAGUAGCAAAAUUGGGGAUGAAACUUACUGCUGGUGGUGGUGGUCACCCGUUGGCAGCAACCUUUUUUCUUCACAGAAGCCCCCAUAACUAUGCUAUAUCAUACAUAGCAUCAUUCUCCAGAGCUUCUGAGGGGAAACUGCAGCCACCAAUUGCUGGGAGAAGCAAUGCUGCUACUACUGGAAAACAGGCAGUGGGGGAACGGUACACAAACAAAGGGCAUUAACCUAAAAGCCAAGAGAUUAUCAGAAAUGGGCUGACAGCAGACCACCAGGAGUUCCUGUUUAAAAAUGUCUGUCUCCAACAAUGAAUGAAGAUGAUGGGAAAAUACUUCUGCUUUCAAUAAAGAAACAGCCUGAGAGUACAUGUUCUCAGUUGAACAGGUAGAAGUAAAUUAUUCAGAGGCACAGAAGAAAUCAUCUUUCCCAAGUUUGAUUGCUAGUAUGAAGAUUAUCAGGAAGUUUCUCUGAAGUCAUGAACAUCAAGUGUAAUUGGAUAAAUGGAAAAUCAUAAUGGAAAUGUUUGAAAUGGGAUAUAAAAUAUAAUAAAGUGGAAAAAAAUUAGUCAUCGUGUGAAUAUUUGACUACAUGCAUUCCUUUUUCAUACAUGUGGAGCCAUUAUGUAAUUCGAGAACUUCAAUCCCAUUUUCAGUUAGAUAUGUAUUAUGCAGGGAUAGGUAGACAGAUAAUCCAUGUAAUGUACUGGUAGUUUCUGUAUUUGUUUUGAAUGUCAAACAUAGUGUUAUAAUAGAAAAGUUUCUUAAGCAAAAAAAAAAAAAGUCAAAAAGAAAAUAGGAGACCAAAUUAUUACCCUUGACUUGGUUGUACAAUUACUGUCUAGCCAUGAUAAGACAUAGAAGCAUUUUCAAAUUAACCACAACAUAUUUUAAAACUCCAGACAGUCUUGGAGGAAAAUGAUUAUUUAGGCCAAUCAAUCAAUGUUUAUUUUGAUCAAAGACCAAAUACAAAGUUUAAAACAAACAAACAAUAAAAUAAAAAUAUUACAACCAACCGGAUCAUGACUGUCUCAAUUGUUGUUGUGUUUUCACUGCUACUACACAGAAUUUUGGGUAGCAUGCAGGUUGUGGUUUGAUUUGUAUCAAGGAGUAGUAGCUUAAUAUAGAACCCCUCCAGUCUGUCUGGAUGCCUCUGCAGUAGAGGGGAAAUCUAUUUUGUGCGGGAGUCCUUGUAAAAGGCAGUAUACAUCAAGACAUGUUCGACAGUUUCUAACUCCUCUGCCCCGCAUGGGUAGGUUCUCUCAGCCAAUGGCACUUUUGAGUAUCUCCACUGCAGGAGUCCAGAAUGGAUAACAUUAUGUCUUACCCUGAAGAAUUCUUUUGCAGCCUGGGGAAGGAAAGUAUUGUUAAGUAGCUUGCAGGUUUCCAUACAAUGUUUACUACCCAGCCCCUCAUGUACUGAGGCAUUCUGUUAACAUCAUUUUGAUAUUCUAUAUUGUCUACCCACUGGGAAGAUAUCUAUAUGGCUUGCUUGUAACCUAGAGAAGUAAGGAGUUCUAUUGAAAGAUUCAAUGAUAGUAAUUUCUUUGUAUUUUCCUAUUUCCAUUUGGACCAGAGGUGCACUUUGCCAUGGAUCUUGGGGAUCUGCUCUGUGGCCUUCUGUCUCUGGGGCACCCACCAAAUAUUCAGGGGGGCCUCCCCAGAGCCCCACUGCUGCCCCACCCUGCCCCACCACUGCCUGCAGGAUUGGGGGCAAGUUAAUUUGAUAAAACAACUUUUUUCUACCACCACUGCACAGCGGGGAUGAUAUCAGAGACAGGGGCCGGCCGGCAGUGUGCAGACCGAGGUGGGGGAGGCGGCGGCAAGAGCUCCUUCCCUGAGCCCACCUGCAGCUCAUAUGACAGGUCGGGCCAUUUUUGGCCCAUUUCAUGGGCAUGCAACCAGAAGUGUACCUAGGUAAUAUUAGAGCCUGGACCUAAAGGCCUUUGGAGGCUCCUCUGCCUGCUGGAGCCCCCACCACUACCAGUGCAAGUUAAGCAUCAUCCCCCUACACACACACAUACACCAUGACACACGUGUGUGUCCCCACUCCCCCUUCUGUCUCUAAAGCACCCAGCACAGGUCAUAAUCACAUAAUCAAUUCGGUUGCCCGGUGCAGUGUGGGCCAGCAGUGACCACACCACCUGGGACAGAAUAAAGAGGAUUUGGGGGGCCUCGGGGUGUGGAGGCCCUGGACUUCAGUCCUGAAGCCCAGGGGUAAGAGCGCCACUGCGUGUGAUGCUCCAUAUUCAAACGAUGCAGGUGCACCUGCUGCAUAGGCCCACCAGCCACUGCAGCUGCCACCACCACAGGGUGGCGCCUGCUCCACUCAGCUCACCCCCCUCCCCCAUUAGUGAAUAUGGCAAAUAUCAAUACAGCAGGGCAGCCACCCACCCACCCGAGACAGAAGGCCAUGGACCUGAUCCCCAAGGUCCGUGACUAAGUGCGCCUCUGGGUAUACUGGAAAGACCAUAUUACGCCUGUUUUAAAACAAUUGCAUUGACUGCUAUUAUGUUUCUGGGUGACAUGCAAAAUGCUGAUAAUUACCUUUAAGCGCUAAACCUCACUGCCAAUUCAGCAGAUGAACCUCACCACCUAUUAAAGUCAUUUGAAGAAGUCUGUCUCCAGCUGCCAUCAGUUCAUCUGGUGGUGACUCGGAGUCAGACCUUCUCUGCAAUUUGAGGCUUAACAUAGUUAAUGGCCAUCAAGAGUGCCCUAAAGACUCAUUUUUAAUCUAUAGGUUAGAGAUCUUUAAAUGUUUUGAAUUGUUUCUUCUUUUAAUUGUUUAAUUGUUACUUAAUUGUUUUUCCAUUUAUUUUUAUUGGCUGUAAACCUCCUAAGACUAUGGGAUUGGACAGUAUAAUCAUGUCAUGAUAAAUAAAUAUGAGCAUGUGUCCAGACUUA